rnacentral:rRNA from 1 species
UAGUCCACGCCGUAAACGAUGGUCACUAGUUGUUGGGGUCUUGUACCUCAGUGAUUAAGAGAAAUUGAUAAGUGACCCACCUGGGGAGUACGAUCGCAAGAUUGAAACUCAAAGGAAUUGACGGGGGCCCGCACAAGCGGUGGAGCAUGUGGUUUAAUUCGAAGCAACGCGCAGAACCUUACCUACCCUUAACAUUUCACGACGUAUACAGAGAUGUAUAUUUCUCUUCGGAGACGUGAGGAUAGGUGCUGCAUGGCUGUCGUCAGCUCGUGUCGUAAGAUGUCUGGUUAAGUCCAAUAACGAGCGCAACCCUUAUCCUUAGUUACCAGCAUUAAGUUGGGGACUCUAGGGAGACUGCCGGUGUUAAACCGGAGGAAGGCGGGGAUGACGUCAAGUCCUCAUGGCCCUUACGGGUAGGGCUACACACGUACUACAAUGGCAGAUACAAACCGUUUGCAAAGCCGCGAGGUUGAGCUAAUCGGUAAAACACUGUCCCAGUCCGGAUUGGAGUCUGCAACUCGACUCCA